rnacentral:rRNA from 1 species
GACGAACGCUGGCGGCGCGCUUAACACAUGCAAGUCGAGCGAAGCGGCGGACGGGUGAGUAACACGUGAGUAACCUGCCUUUUACACAGGGAUAGCCUCGGGAAACCGGGAUUAAAACCUGAUGGUAAAAGAUGGACUCGCGUCCCAUUAGCUAGUUGGUGAGGUAACGGCCCACCAAGGCAACGAUGGGUAGCCGGCAUGGGAGGGUGAGCGGCCACAUUGAAACUAGGAAACGGUCCAGACUCUACGGGAGGGAGUAGUGGGGAAUGUUGUACAGUGGGGGAAACCCUGAUGCAGCGACGCCGGGUGAGCGAGGAAGGCCUUCGGGUAGUAAAGCUCUUUUAUAUGGGAAGCGGUACCAUAAGAAAAAGCCCCGGCUAACUACGUGCCAGCAGCCGCGGUAAUAC